GUAGGGAAUUUUCCGCAAUGGGCGCAAGCCUGACGGAGCAACGCCGCGUGAGUGAAGACGGUUUUCGGAUUGUAAAGCUCUGUUCUCGGGGAAGAAACAAAUGACGGUACCCGAGCAGAAAGCCCCGGCUAACUACGUGCCAGCAGCCGCGGUAAUACGUAGGGGGCAAGCGUUGUCCGGAUUUAUUGGGCGUAAAGCGCGCGCAGGCGGUUUGUUAAGUUGUGGGUAAAAGGCAUUGGCUCAACCAAUGUAAGCCUGCAAAACUGGCAGACUUGAGUGCAGGAGAGGUGAGUGGAAUUCCCGGUGUAGCGGUGGAAUGCGUAGAUAUCGGGAGGAACACCAGUGGCGAAGGCGACUCUCUGGCCUGUAACUGACGCUGAGGCGCGAAAGCGUGGGGAGCGAACAGG
rnacentral:rRNA from 1 species